AUGUCUCGACGUGGCCGACGCCGACGCCGCCUCAGUCGCAUCGCUCGGGCCGCUGCCAGAAGCGUAGCGCCGUGGGCCGACCUCCCGCCUGACCUGCUGGGUGAUGUCUCCGGCCGCCUGCACAACGCCGCUGACUUCACGCGCUUCCACGCCGUCUGCACGGCAUGGCGCGACGCGCUGCCGAAGCCGCCGUGCGCCCGUCGCUCGUUCCUGCCGUGGCUUCUGACGCGCACGCCCUGCAAGGGCACGCCCACGGCCUGCGAGGGCCGCCUCAUUCUGCAGUCCGCCGUCAACUUCUCCCCUGAGAGGGCGCCACGGUCGAAGUACAGUUACGAGGGGAUCUUUCUCGUGCGGCCGCCGGGAGAAUCAUCCCCGAGGAACUGGCUGACCAACACAGAUGGCACGGCCGCCUGGCUCUUGACCACGGAUACAGGAGCGGGCCUCCACCCUUUCACCGGAGCCUUCACCCCGCUGCCGUCAUACCAAGAUGAGCGGCGGCGGAUGGAGAAUCCUCGUGGCAACACCUGCUGCGACGGUACCGUCUUUCUCUACAAUAUUUUUUCUAGCUGUUCAACCGGCAAGCUCGUUUUUUGGGCGGCCGUCCUACGUCCAGGCGACACAGCGUGGACUCUGAUGAAAACGAAGCUCGAUUAUUUGCCAAAUAUCACGAACUACAGUGGAAGUGGAAUCACUGCGCUGUAUCACAACAGCAAGAUCUUGGUGUGCCUAGGUUUGCACUGGUGCAUCCUCACGCUGGAAGACGACGGUGCCACCAGAAGGCUCGAGCCGAUGCCAUGGAUCGACAAAGGCGGCGGGUACCAGAGGAGGACAUGCUACGCCUUAGAGUUCCAGGGUGAGCUGUUGUUGGUCACAGUCCUAUUGCACGUUAGCCACACAAGAGAAACACCCAUGUUGUCUCUGGUUGUCCAUGCGUGGGACGAAGACAAGAUGCAAUGGUUGACGAGGGAUGGCCGGAGCUUGGGCGACGGCGUGCUCUUCCUUGCCUCCCGUGCUAGCUUUGCUGUGGAUGCCGCGCAACUAGGCCUGGACGGCGGGUGCGCCUACUUCAUCUUCAAUAGCAACUACCCGUUCCUGGACGUGUUUAGGUACAACUUUAUGAACAAUGAGGCCGAGGCCAAGCUCGUUGAGCACCUUCAUUGGGAAUGGCCUGCCGACAAUACACGGGACGUGUACUGGCUCCAGCUUCCACCAACCAUUGCUCCAAUUCAGGAAAUCAGGAAAAGGCUCGGGCUCGAGAAACCACAUCCACGGGAUAAUUUUGUAUGCAAAAGAUACGUUGGACGCUGCCUCACAAUAACCGCUUGCUGUAAAGCCUGCAUUAUUGCCGGCCAUUUUAUGUAA
rnacentral:rRNA from 1 species